rnacentral:rRNA from 1 species
CGGCCGCGGUAUCCUGACCGUGCAAAGGUAGCAUAAUCACUUGUUCCUUAAUUAGGGACUAGCAUGAAUGGCCAAACGAGGAUUCAACUGUCUCUUAUUUUUAANUCAGUGAAAUUGACCUUUCAGUGAAGAGGCUGAAAUACUAAAAUAAGACGAGAAGACCCUAUGGAGCUUAAAUUAAAAGUUUAACUUUACUUCCAUCAGCCUAAUGGCAUAACACAAAAAUUUUAAACUCUAAAUUUCGGUUGGGGUGACCUCGGAGAACAAAAAA